GAAAUGCGAUAAGUAAUGCGAAUUGCAGAACUUCGUGAAUCAUCAAAUCUUUGAACGCAAAUUGCGCUUUCGGGAUAUUCCUGAGAGCAUGCCUGUUUCAGUGUCUAUGUUAUUUCUCAUUUACAAUUUCUUGUGGAUUGUGAAUUGGACUGUUUAUAUGAGUGUUUGUAGCUCUAGCAGCUACAAUUGCUUGAAAGUCUUACAGUUGCCAUGCAGUAACAAGUCACACACUCAUUGGGUGUUGUGUUUUGCAUGAAGUGGUAGAAAGGAGCAGUUUCACUGUUUCCUUUAUCAUCUUCAAGCAGUGACACACAACAUUAAGCCUAAGUGUGGCGUUUAAAGCUACAGCAUGCGCAGUCUGAACGCCUCUUUAACAUAUACCUUUGGACCUGAAAUCAGGCAAGAGGACCCGCUGGAUUUAA
rnacentral:misc_RNA from 1 species